CAAUAGCGUAUAUUAAAGUUGUUGCGGUUAAAAAGCUCGUAGUUGGAUCUCGGCAGGCAGGGGGUGGUUCGCUCUUAGCGCUACUGCCCCAUUUGCCUGUGUGAUUGGCGGAGGUUUCGGGGUGCUCUUCGUUGAGUGACCCGGGGCGCCGUCAGGUUUACUUUGAAAAAAUUAGAGUGCUCAAAGCAGGCUUUUCACGCUUGAAUAUUCGUGCAUGGAAUAAUGGAAUAGGGACUCGUUUCUAUUUUGUUGGUUUUCGGAAAUCGAGUUAAUGAUUAAUAGGGACAAUUGGGGGCAUUAGUAUUCAGACGACAGAGGUGAAAUUCUUGGACCGUCUGAAGACUAACUACUGCGAAAGCAUUUGCCAAGAGUGUUUUCAUUAA
rnacentral:rRNA from 1 species